rnacentral:snRNA from 1 species
GGGUGUGAGGGUGAUUUGGCUGUGGCAUCUGUCACCCCAUUGAUGGUCAGAAUUGAUUUGGCUAUCUGGCUGGCUAGGUGAGUGUCCCCUUCCUCCCUCACUGAUCUAUGUGCAUCCCUCCUGAAGCAGUGCACUGGAUGGAAGAGGAUGACCUUCCCUGAAUAGAAAGGGAUCAGUAUUCAAAGGUAUAUGAGUAGCUGUGCUCCUCUGCUAGAACCUCUAAACAAGCUUUCAAGAGAGCUAUAAAAGGAUCCAUAAUGCCAAACUCAAUACAGUUAAUCCCUG